ACCGCCCGCCCCCGCGGGAGCUGCUGCCCGAGGAGUCCGGGGCCGAGCCGCCCUACGCAGCAGCCCCCGGCUUUGGGAUGCGCAGGCCCCUCCUGGAGCAGGGGAGCGUUGUGAUCUCUGUUUGAGGGAUGGGGAGCCUGAGGCCAGGGGCCGCCCAGCUGAAGAGGCGGCCCCCGAGUGACAGACUGUUGCCCUCCGCCCCAUGGGCUCGUUCAGCGGGGAACUUAAGUCUCCCAGUGCCCUUAUCCGUACCCGCAAGUGGUCGCCGCACAGCAGUGCUGGCCCAAUUCACAGGCACCAAGUCAGAGGCGUGGUUGUGGCUCCUCACGAAGAGCCGUAGUUUGUGAAAGGCGAAGGCCCAGGUUGUCCGUGGCUGCUGAUUGUAGGGGCCUCCCAUCUAAAUCUGAGCUCCAUUGAACCUGAUUUUUCAGAAGCACUGAGCACUCCCGAUCCAGAUAAAGGCAUGGGGAGAUCCAGACGCUCAACACCUCUGACAAUCAGGCCCAAGGUGUCUCAAUUCUGUAAUUGAAAUGAAUGGGGCCACGUUUUGAUUCUACUUAGUGCUUGAGCCCUAAUAAGGUAAAACAUGCAGGCAGAACCCUGUUGACUUCAGUGGGGCUUUAUGCUGGUAUAAAUUUCUCUAGUCCCACUCUUAGCAGGGUGAUUACCUGGUCUUGCCAGGUGUAUCCUAUAACAAGGACACACGCUAGCAUCCUCCUGGAGUCCUAGAAAAUCAAGUUCAGACAAAUAGGAUAAACCCAUCCUAAGGUAAGAGAGUCUGAAAGAGACUCCCAAAUAUUUUCCUGGCUACUACACCAUAAUGACUCUCUCAUAAACUGUCAACAGGUACGGCUAGAUACUUUUUCUGAAUAUCUGUUUAUUUUAAAAUCUAGCAGUGUUAGAAAUUUAAACUGUUCCUCUCUGUGAGCAUCAUAUUUAUCUACAGUGAAUUUUAUUUAAUUCUCUAACUCAGGUGCCUCUGAACUUCCUCAGUCUUCUGUAGUCUUUGACUAAUCUAAAUAAUCUUGUGUCAUGCGCAGAUUUUGCCAGGUCACUGUUUACCUUCCUCUCCAGGUCUUUAAUAAAUAAGUUUAAACUGCUCUUAGUAUAAAUCAUUGCAAUAUCCUCUUAUUUGCUUCAUUCCAUGAUUUAAAAACUGAUGACUUAUUCCUGUUUGUUUUUCUGUUUCUGUCAAUUUCUGUUACACAAAAGAACUUCUCUUACACCCUGUAUCUAGUUUCCUUAACUACACCUUCUUAUGAGGAACCUGAUUAAAGCUUUUUGAAAGUCUGAACCAAUAAUAUCGACUGGUUUUCCUUUGUCACCCUCAAAGACUUCUCCUAAAUUGAGGGAUGUGAUUCUCGGUUAAAGCCCACAUUAAUUGGGUCUUGUAUUGUGUUUCUCUAGGACAGGUGUUCUUCUUAAUAUUGCUUCAAACAACUUGCCGAGUGCUGAAGUAAAGAUACUGGCCUUUAAAUGUCAAACUUAAUCCUAAUGCUUUAAUAAAAUAGACCUAAUAUUGCCUACCUUCUAGUCCUCAAGAAUAUCAGCUAGCUUUCAUUGUAAAUUACAUUGUUUUGUUAGCAGCUCACCCACUUAAUUCUUAAAUCCUUCAGAACUUUUGGGUGAAUACUCUUUGGACCUGAGGGCUUGCUGCUGUCACCAUACCUCACAAGGAGUAGACAAGAGAGGGAACUGAAGAACCCAUGCCUAGGAAUGCCUGCUGCAGAGAUCCUACCUGAUCAUGCUGGAGAUGAAAUGGUUUUCCCUAGGUCAGGCCUGUUUAAAGCAUCAUGACUGCAUGCAGAAAGAGCCACCAAAGUAUCCACAGGGGCCUUCGCAGUGGAGGUGAGGUCACCACUGAGUAUCACGUCCAGCUCUUGUAGAACCAGCAGCUUGUGGGCACAGCACCAGAGCAGCAGUUUGCCUCCCGCACCUUGUGGUAGGUGUUCCGCAGCUUCUUCACUUUGACCCUGCACUGAA